CCCCAUGAAGCUUUGGGGUGCCGGUUUGCACCCCCGAAGCUUUGGGGUGCCCUGGGCAGGAGGCAGCCCCAGCGCCGGGGUUUGGGCUGGCAGGGACAAUCCUGCCCAAAUUCACCCCUGGAGGUUCUGGGGCAGAAAUGUGGACUUUUCCUUCUCUGUGCUUCCACCGCUGCUCACAACAGGAAGAGGCUCCAGGAGAAGGUUUGCAUUCAGAUCCACACUGUGUGAGCCUUCUGCCAAGUUUUGAGGGUUUUCUACAAAUCCAUUUCCCACAAAGAGCCACUGACAGAGCCCUCUCCCCUCCUCCAAAGCUCUGAGAGGCAGAAGCCACGGGCACAUGGAUUUUCUGCAGGGAUUUAAAUUCAUCUCUGUCUGGUCAUAACUAAAAACCAUUCCCAGGAAGCAGGAUGGGGAAGAAAAACAGACUAUGGAAAUAAAGGCCCUGCUGCCAGAGAGGGUGUGCGGCAGGCAGAAGAGAUUUUCCAGUCUUUUUCCUUGAGAAAUCUGCCAAACCCAAGCCUAAGACGAGCCCUGAGGGCACGCGGUGCCCUAAGCUGCAGAUCUCUAACCCUUAUCUCAACAUCGGCUCUGUGUGUGCGGCAGCGGGAAGCCAUUAGCAGAGUUAAUUACAGGGGCUGGGAAUGCUCCUCUCCCUUUUCCUGCCCUUUCUUGGCGCUCUGACCCCACCCCAGGACCCUCAGGCGGCAGCAAGAGGGGACAGGGGUCAUUAAACCAGCGCUAAUCACCGCCGGGGCUCUGCGGGCUGGGCUUAACGGGUAAUUAGCGCUGCCGCAGCUGCUGCUAAUUAAAGCCUGCUCCAAUCAGCGCUUCCAGUCUCGGGACUGACGGUGGGAAGGUUCAAGGAUUGGGAGAAGAGCCUGGGGGACCCUGGAGAAAGGGAUUGGGGAGGGACUCCUGCUGCUGCUCACGCCAGGUGCUCGCUGGGGAGUUUUCCCUUUUCCUUUUUUCUCUUUUCUCCUGUUCAUUCCUCCUCCCCACACCUGGAAAAGGAAUUUUCCUGCUGCAGUUGGUGUUUAGCGCAAGCAGCAGGCGCUGAGGAUGGAUUCGUGCGUGUGAGGCUGGCUGGGCACCUUUAACACCGGGGGAAACGCGGAGAUGCUGCAAGGAGCGUGGAGGGGGGAAAAAAGCAGGAAUAAAUGCAAUUUUUCUCUUAGGAGAAUGUGCUGAGAGGAUAUCUGCUUGUAUGAAAAAUCACAGAAUAAUUUGGGCUGGAAGGGGCCUUAAAGGACCAUCCCACUGCCCUCCUGCCCUGCAGGGACACCUCCCACUGUCCCAGGCUGCUCUGAGCCCUGCCCAGCCUGGCCUUGGGCACUGCCAGGGAUCCAGGGGCAGCCACAGCUGCUCUGGGCACCCUGUGCCAGGGCCUGCCCACCCUGCCAGGAUUUCUUCCCUGUAUCCACUCUGCAUCCCCCGUUUUAGCUAAACCCUUGUGCUGUCCCUCCAUCCCUUGUCCCCAGCUCCUCUCCAGCUCUCCUGGAGCCCCUUUAGGCCCUGGCAGGGCUCUGAGGUGUCCCCAAACCCUCCUCUGCUCCAGGCUGAGCAAUCCCAGCUGUCUCAGCCUUCCCUCACAGGAGGAGUGCUCCAUCCAUGGAUGUCUUCAGUGAGAUAACCUUGAUAAAGAGAGUAAAAACCCCAAUUUUCCCUAACUGAGUGAUUAAAAUUCUCAUGCUAGCCAAAUUCUUUGAUUAAAAAGCUUCAGCAGCCUUGUGACCCCCUGAGUUCUCCUGGUUGCCACCCCUGCCACCUAUUUUACACUUAUGGUUUCCUUGCUGUUACAGUCAAAAUCCCCCCAAAUAAUAUUUUAUAUUAAAACAAAAAAUAUUUCAGUCACACGGCUCCUAAAAAUUAUUGCCAGUGCCACACACAAUAUAGAGCUUUCCAGGUUUGAAAAAAGAGAUCUCCUUAAAUCAAUGCACAGGUGGUACCCACCAGACCCACCCUGACACACCCAAAAAUAUCCACCUGCACAUCCCAGCGGGAGACACUGCAGAGCCAGGGGUUGAUGGAGCGGCACACGGGAAUGCUUCCGUGUUAGAAAGAACAAACACAGUUAGUUAUUAUAUUUGUCGUUAUAGUUAUGUAUUGACUUUUGUUUUGGAAAUUAUUAUUGAACACAAAAAUCCUGAUGCAGUACAACUUGUAAUUACUGCUUUAGAUAUAGUGUAAUCUGUCAGUUUAGGUAUGCACCCUGCAGCUUUUAGAAAUAGUAGUGUCAUAUAGUGUGAUAUGUACUAUUGUAUAUGUAAUACUGUAAUAUA